rnacentral:rRNA from 1 species
GCUAUACUGCAAGUCGAGCGAACAGACGAGGAGCUUGCUCCUCUGACGUUAGCGGCGGACGGGUGAGUAACACGUGGAUAACCUACCUAUAAGACUGGGAUAACUUCGGGAAACCGGAGCUAAUACCGGAUAAUAUAUUGAACCGCAUGGUUCAAUAGUGAAAGACGGUUUUGCUGUCACUUAUAGAUGGAUCCGCGCCGCAUUAGCUAGUUGGUAAGGUAACGGCUUACCAAGGCAACGAUGCGUAGCCGACCUGAGAGGGUGAUCGGCCACACUGGAACUGAGACACGGUCCAGACUCCUACGGGAGGCAGCAGUAGGGAAUCUUCCGCAAUGGGCGAAAGCCUGACGGAGCAACGCCGCGUGAGUGAUGAAGGUCUUCGGAUCGUAAAACUCUGUUAUUAGGGAAGAACAAAUGUGUAAGUAACUAUGCACGUCUUGACGGUACCUAAUCAGAAAGCCACGGCUAACUACGUGCCAGCAGCCGCGGUAAUACGUAGGUGGCAAGCGUUAUCCGGAAUUAUUGGGCGUAAAGCGCGCGUAGGCGGUUUUUUAAGUCUGAUGUGAAAGCCCACGGCUCAACCGUGGAGGGUCAUUGGAAACUGGAAAACUUGAGUGCAGAAGAGGAAAGUGGAAUUCCAUGUGUAGCGGUGAAAUGCGCAGAGAUAUGGAGGAACACCAGUGGCGAAGGCGACUUUCUGGUCUGUAACUGACGCUGAUGUGCGAAAGCGUGGGGAUCAAACAGGAUUAGAUACCCUGGUAGUCCACGCCGUAAACGAUGAGUGCUAAGUGUUAGGGGGUUUCCGCCCCUUAGUGCUGCAGCUAACGCAUUAAGCACUCCGCCUGGGGAGUACGACCGCAAGGUUGAAACUCAAAGGAAUUGACGGGGACCCGCACAAGCGGUGGAACAUGUGGUUUAAUUCGAAGCAACGCGAAGAACCUUACCAAAUCUUGACAUCCUCUGACCCCUCUAAAGAUAGAGUUUUCCCCUUCGGGGGACA